GGCCUUUUGAAUUUAAUUUAAGGUCUGACCUGCCCAGUGAUGAAUUUAACGGCCGCGGUAUAUUGACCGUGCAAAGGUAGCAUAAUCAUUAGUCUUUUAAUAGAGGGCUGGAAUGAAUGGUUUAACGAGGAACUAGCUGUCUCAUUUUAUUUGUUUUAGAAUUUAAUUUUUUAGUUAAAAAGCUAAAAUUUUAUUGGAAGACGAGAAGACCCUAUAGAUCUUUAUAUAAUUUUAUUUAUUUAUUUAUAUAUUAAUGUAAUUAUAUUUAAAUUAUAUUUUGUUGGGGUGACAAAAAUAUAUAAUUAACUUUUUCAUUUAUUUACCAUUUAUAUAUGAGUAUUAGAUCCAUUUUUAGUGAUUGCUAGAAUAAGUUACCUUAGGGAUAACAGCGUAAUCCUCCUCCAGAGUUCAUAUUUACAGGAGGGCUUGCGACCUCGAUGUUGGAUUAAGAUAAUAAUUAGGUGUAGCCGCUUAAUGUAUAGGUCUGUUCGACCUUUAAAUUCUU
rnacentral:rRNA from 1 species